rnacentral:rRNA from 1 species
CCUACGGGAGGCAGCAGUGAGGAAUAUUGGUCAAUGGGCGCGAGCCUGAACCAGCCAAGUAGCGUGAAGGAUGACUGCCCUACGGGUUGUAAACUUCUUUUAUAAAGGAAUAAAGUGAGGCACGUAUACUUUUUUGUAUGUACUUUAUGAAUAAGGAUCGGCUAACUCCGUGCCAGCAGCCGCGGUAAUACGGAGGAUCCGAGCGUUAUCCGGAUUUAUUGGGUUUAAAGGGAGCGUAGACGGGUUGUUAAGUCAGUUGUGAAAGUUUGCGGCUCAACCGUAAAAUUGCAGUUGAUACUGGCAGCCUUGAGUACAGUAGAGGUAGGCGGAAUUCGUGGUGUAGCGGUGAAAUGCUUAGAUAUCACGAAGAACUCCGAUUGCGAAGGCAGCUUGCUGGACUGCAACUGACACUGAUGCUCGAAAGUGUGGGUAUCAAACAGGAUUAGAUACCCCUGUAGUC